UACGUAGGAGGCGAGCGUUGUCCGGAGUUACUGGGCGUAAAGGGUGCGCAGGCGGCGUCACGCGUGGCUAGAUGAAAUCUCCUGGCUUACCUGGGAGGGUGGUAGCCAGACGGUGGCGCUUGAGGGUCGGAGAGGAGACUGGAAUUUACGGUGUAGCGGUGAAAUGCGUAGAUAUCGUAAGGAAGACCAGUGGCGAAGGCGGGUCUCUGGACAGUUCCUGACGCUGAGGCACGAAGGCCAGGGGAGCAAACGGG
rnacentral:rRNA from 1 species